ensembl:lncRNA
GCGUGGAGAAAAAAAAAGACAUUUUUGAUAAAAGGUGAAACAUAUUCAAGAGCCUAAAAGUGGAAGUCCAGUUUUCUUAAAUUCAAGCACUAAACUAAAAUGGAUGACUGAGGAACCUACGCAGACUUCUACAGAUUGAAGCGAAAGCCAAUAAAAGUGAAGGAUACUGCUCAGUGAAAUAUGACAUAUUAGAUGGUUUCCUAAGAAACCAAAGCCAAGAUUGUCCACUAAUGACCAACCUUCAGCCACAAUAUAAAUGGUACAAUAUACAAUUUACAAUAUAUGCAAUGAGCGUACAUGCCCCUAAGUACACCCACAGAAGAAAUGUUACCCGGCAUGGAGAGUACAUAAUCCAGCACACAACCGAGCAAUCAGCAGGACUAGUGUGGUUACAUGUACAUGAACACGCACAGUAACCUGAAAAAUACCUUUCAGCUGUGUGAUGGGCCCAUAGAGGGAAAUACAUAAAUAUAUGUUACUCUGUCAUAUAUGAUGAUGGAAAAGCUCUAUUCUCUUUUCUGUAGCUGCCGUGGAAGCUUUUUUAUGCCCUGCAUCAUCCACAAUCCCCUGGGUCGUAUUACAGAUGACUUAUCAACAAAUGCGCUGGCUUAAAAACAAAUGUCCUCACACUUUUUUGGUCAUAUUUACAUUUAUUUUUCAAUAAGCACUUGUGAAAUGCACAAAAAGUACCUGACCUUUGAUUAUGUAAACAAACAUCAUGAAAGACAAAUUAGUAUUUUUUUAUUUAUUCUGAUUAUUUUAACAGCAUUUACUGACUCUCCUAACCUUCAUAAAAACAUAAAGAGCAGAAAGGAGAGGAGUGCGUCAGCUUCCUACUAGAACAUCUUUACUUUAUCCAAGUAUGGUUGGUUGACUGGACGAAUAUAUCCGUUUAGUGCUCCAGGACCUCAAAAAUUUAUCUCUGUCAAUGAGCUUCUAAAGUGCAGUUGUGGAGAAGCGCCACAAGGUGGAGCCUCCUUGUGGCUGAGAUUUGUACACAGACAUUGCUAGUUGUUGGGUUGCCAGUGGCUGCCAAAGCCCACACGGAACAGAAAGCUUCUUAAGACAGUAAAUAAACCCAAAGUGUUCUGGGGUUAGGGUUAGGUUUCUACUUGAGGUGAAUUUUAGGGUUCAGUUUUACCCCAAACAUGAAAGACGAUUGUUUAAUUUAACACAACAGCAGGGUUCGGUUCAAAUUUGAAAACCGAGGCCAUAAAUGUGACAGGGAUCAAUGGUUUUCAUAAAUCGAGUAAAUAUAUAGUAUAUAUCUCAGAAAUAGAAAUAAAAAUAGAAUAAAAACAAAACAGGCACAACAGAGGUGAUGAAUUCAAAGUCAGCUUGAACACAAGGAAUAAGGGGCUACACUCCUGGUUCCUCCGAGUCCCAUCAUGUCUUGCUGCCACUGGCUUGGUGAACAUCUGUUACCACGGUGGCCACAGCUGAGAGAGGUGUGGAGUACACGGACGCCAUGCUCUGCAGACCAGCUACCAGGCAGCGCCAGCUGAAGCGUAGCGCUUUCCCCACAUUCUGCACCAGACCAGAGAAGAAGAACAUUAGUGCUUUAAUUUUAGUUUUUCUGUACCCACCAAGGGCAUUAAGGUCAAUUACAACUAGAUUAAAAACUAUCUUGUAAUAUACAGGAAAUGUCUCUAGCAUUGGUCUUUGUCAGCUUGGGCAGUUUUGGGUUUUUUUUAAGCCACAGCUUGCCGUUGUAGAAGUUGUAUAAUGAGUAAUACUAGUUUAUGGUCAUUUCCUGUUUCGUUGUACUCGUUAUGCUAAUGCAGAUGUAUAUUGUUCAUCAGCAAACACAUGCAAAAGACCACCACGAGGGUAAAAGUUGCACCUUUUUUUUUAAAUGUGUUGCCUACUGAAGCAAAAUUUAGGAAGUGCUGAACCAAAUAUGUAAACAAAGAAACGACUGAUUUAUCAAGUGAGCCAUUUAUUUCAUAUUUACCCAGCACAACAAAGGCUCAUUUGUUGUAUUGGGUAAAUACUAAAGGUGGUGGCUUUGUGACCUGUAGAUUAGAAUAGAGUUUAUAUAUUUGAAAUAUGGAUUUUAUUGCAGGACUGACCAGCUACAUGACGACAUAACAGAAGUAGUGGCUGGAAAUGUUUAGAAGGAGAGAAAGAUACUGAGCGAGACAAUCAGAUUUGAUGCAGCAUGUCGUUACAUUUCAAGAAGGUGCAUACCAGGUUAAGUUGCAAGGUUUCACAAGAGUUUACAUUAUAGAUUUAAGACGGGGGCAAAAAUCCCCUUUAACUCUGCUAUUGAUAGAGAAGAACAGAACAGACAAAAAAGGUUAACGUCUGGUGAGAAGAAAGGACAAUGAACAAAUGGGGUUAAGAAAGGGAAGGGUGUGGAGCAUAAGAACAGAAAGCUACUCUGUUCCAGUUUUAGUAUCAACUCUUCAGUUAUUACCAAACAACCUCAGCUCCGUAAACCAUCACCAUACUGAGUCGUUGUCUAUUAUUAUUUGACUGACAGACCACAGACCUACAGAUUUAUAAAAGAAGAACUUCAUGGUAGCUGAUGAGAUAUUGUCAAGUUAUUUCUCUGCUUAACACUGGUAGUUCUAUUCCUAUAGAUGUCCAUUACUUUAUAUUACAAUGAAAAAUUUGCCCCUAGUUAGUGAAAAUGUUGAGGUUCAGAGGGUAAAAUAUUUUCCACAAUAUUUGAGAUAUAUACAUUUAUAAAUUUAUUGAAAUUUUGUGGUGGUGCUGGGAUGUCAACUUUCUGCUUUAUUGUCUGCAAAAUAUAACAAACUUUCAGUUCAAUUCAGUUUUAUUCACAUAGUGCCAAAUCACAACAAUUGUUGCCUGAAGGCACUUUAUAUUGUAAGAUAAAGACCCUAAAAUAAUACAGAGAAAAGCCCAAAAUCAGAUGACCCCCUAUGAGCAAGCACUUGUCAACAGUGGGAAGGAAAAACUCCCUUUUAACAGUAAGAAACUUUAAUUACACUGCUCAUUGCAGCUUAACUAAGGGAGGAUUCAGGCUCACUUGACCCAGCCCUAACUAUAUACUUUAGCAAAAAGUAAAGUUUUAAUCCAAAUAAUAAAAGCAGAUAGUGUUUGUCUCCCGAAUCUAAACUUGAAGAUGGUUUCACAGAAGAGGGGCCUGAAAGCUGAAGGCUCUACUUUUAAAUGCUCUACAAAGAACAAGUAAGCCUGCAGUCAGAGAGCAAAGUGCUCUAUUUUGGUGAUAUCAUGCUAUGAGGUCAUUAAGAGAAGAUGGUGAUUAUUGAAGACCUAUGAAGUAUGUGAGGACCAGGAUUUUGAACAGUAGUCUCAGUGCAGCAUUUUGGAUCUGUUGAUGGCUUCUCUGAUGUUUUGGGACAUCCCGAUAAUAACGAAUUACAGCAGUCUAGCCUAGAAGUAAUAAAUGCUUGAACUAGUUCUUUACCACCAAGAGGCAACAUUUAACUUGUGAGAUGUUUCCAGACAUUAACAGUAACAUUCUUUAAUAUUGGUGAAAAAUUUCUUUUUAGCCUUACUCAAAGCCAGUGUAAAACACAGAUAACCUCUGAGUUUGGCAACUAAAGCGGAAGUGCUUUAGACCUGCAUUCUGCAUGGUGGCCACUAGGGGGUAACCACUGUGGUUGCAAAAAGAUUUAGAAUAGAAUGCCUUUAUUGUCACUAUACAGAUGUACAAUGAGAUACAGAGCAUCUCCUACACAGUGCAAACAUGUGGGAGAAUAAAGGUGGUGAGAUGCACAGUUUCUGUAGCUCUAUAUACAUAUGAACAGUAUUUAGAAAAGAAAAAAAAAUUAUAAAAUGUAUUUUUUUCCUUUUGCAUUUUGUCAAUUUUGGUCAUUCAAAGAAUCAGAAAGGAGGAUUUUCCAGGAUAUGCUCACUGACUGUAAUGUCAUGAUUACAAAGUGGUAAUAAAUGAAAGUACAGCCUGGCCCAACUUCAACUCCUUUUGAUGGUUUUGGUAAAUUUUGGAGAGCUUUAGACUCUUUUUAAAUAAAUAAAGUGGAUGUGAAAAUAAUGAAUCUAAUGACUGGUUGUGGUCCUCUGCUUCAGUGUGGACUCGAUAGUGUUAUUUAUCAUUUCAGCUCUUCAUUCUGAGGCUGAAUGAAGGUAUUUGUGAUAGUAAAAGUUCUGUUUUUAUGACUUCCAUGUUUGUCUGUUCUCAGAGGGAUACAAUCAUCACAACACAUUAUUUUGGGGGCCAAAGGCCAGAACUGUGUAGUGGUGCUGAAGAGUCAAUAAUUAACUGCAGAAAGCUGAGACUGAAUACCUUUGCACUGCAGGCAAACAACUACAUGUGUGGUUACUGCCUAACCUACUUUGUAUGAUGUCAUGUUUUAUAUAAAAUCAUGACACCCUCUACAGUUGGUUUAGUAAUUAUUAAGUGAAGUGUGGCAUAAAAAAAAAAAACCCUGUUUCUGUAUACCUGAAUCACAGACGAGUCAGUUUGUCGCUCAUUUUUAUUAAGUAUCAAUUUCUUAAAUGUUAAUCUUUAAUUUUAUUUAUUUUUAUUUGUACCAGACAUUUAUUCAUUUAAAUUCAAUUUAUUUUGCGUAUUCUUAUUUAUUUUAUUUAUAUAGUACACAGUAGUGUGUACAUGUUUUGAGCCACCCUUCAUUUCUUUAUAUUUUACUAGGAAAAUUGAAAAUAGGUGCAGUAAUUCAUUGAAACAUGUAAGUAACAGGAAAAUGGUAUAAGAAGCAGAAAUGGAGUUUGUCCAAUUCUAAUGAGCUUCAAAGUCAAUACUGGGGAGGCCAAUCAAUCACUGACAGUGUGUUUAUCUAUCCAGGCAUGCUGUUACUGCAUUGCCAGUGUGUUCGGGAUCAUGGUCAUGUUGAAAAAUGAAGGUGUUGCCAAUCAGAUGCUUUCCAGAUGGUACUGCAUGGUGGAUCAAAGUCUGAUACUAAUACUAGCUCAAGAGUUCAUAAUUCCGUCAAUUUAGACAAAACCACUCUGCCACCACUGUCUGAAAUGCAUUCCCAAACCAUGAUAGCAUAACAUAGCAGUCAUUUUUAAACUUGGCAUUUAAUAUAAUACAAUUUUAUUCCUCUUUUAAUCAGGUAUUGAAUAAUAUUUUUGUUCAUUUCCUUAUUUAUAUAUUUAUUUAAAGAUACAUAUUUGUUUUGUUUUUUUCCUUUUCUUUUUUGUUUUGUUUAAAAGAAGUGAUUUAAUGAAAUUUCAGUUACAAUAAUACAUGUUUUUAAUUUUAAAUAUAUAUGAAACCUUUACCAGUUUUGUAACCUAACUCAUUUAACUACCUAUAUCUGGUGAGCUGUUAUCAAUUUUUAUUUCUGUAUUUUAUUAAAUUAGAUUGUUUAUUUACGUCAUUAUGCAUCAUGUUUUUAUUUCUAUGUAAACUAUAUGAACUAUAUGUAUUUUCUGAAUGUAACUGAACUUGAAUGUAUUUAUUAUAGUCUUUAACAGUCUGUUCUAAGCCAUGAUUUCAUCAACAUGCCACUGCUGGUCAGCUGUAGAGGGAUCUUUCGUACACAAGUCAAAGGUCAUAACUUCUUACCUUCCUGUACUUCUUGCAUGUAUUUUUCCUUUUCUUCUUCCUCGCCUCCUUCCUCCUCUUUUUCUCCUCUGCAGUCUCCUCUCUCUCCUCAUCGUCCUCAAUCAGAGGUUCAUAUUUAUCUGGCAGGACGCUGAAAUAAACCUCCUUGCUGGUUUUGUGCAGCUUUCUCCCCACUGAAGAAGCGCAGUCUUCCUCCUCCCUCUCCUGUGCUCCCAUCCCUUCCUCACUGUCGUCUGACUUUCUUCUCCUGCUUUCGAGCAGGGAGACCUUUGGAGCAAGGAGGAGUCAAACUUUAUUAGUGGCCCCAAGCUCAGCGCAGACAGGAAACUCUGAGCUUUGACAUAAAAUCAGGAUUAGAAGAAGAAUGUGGAGGUUCCUCAGUUUUGAGGCUGAAGUUAUC